UACUUCCCCUAUUCCUCCCCUCAUCAUUGCUUUCUGAUUUCAGCCCUAAAUUAGCAAAGUUUAGGAGGAGGUGAUCUGACAAUCACAAACUGUUUUUUUUUGUUGUUGUUGAAAAAUAUUUUAGUGUCCAGUUGUUUUGAACAGGAUACAAGCAUACUCAUGUUGGCAGGUCAUGUUCCAGAUGAAAAUCAUCAGUGUGCAAGGUGUGCAUUUACUUUUUUUUUAAAAAAAAAAAAAAAAAAAAAAAAAAAGUAUCUAGUUUCCUUCCGUUUUACAGACAUCUAAAUAUUUCUUUUGACCUAAUGUGGUGUGAUAGGUGGGAGGAGGCCAGAAAGGAUGUAAUACAAGGUACUUACUCCUUCAAUGAGUCCAUUUUGAUUGCAGAUCUGAAGAUAUUUCUUCAAAAUGACAAGUGAGGUGAUUUAUGCAGAGGUAUCACCUGAAGAAAGAAUGCGUUUUACUUCACAAAAUUCAGAUGCAGGUGAUCAGAUCACCUAUGCUGAGGUGAAAAUGAAAUGGAAAUCCGACAAUACCAACAGUACAUCCAAGUCUACACAUACAACAGUGGCCUGCUAUGAGAGCAAACACUGGUGUUACGUUGCCAUCAUCCUGUACUUUGUUGCAGUGGCUCUGCUCAUCUGUGUGAUCCUUUUAGCUCUGAAAUGUAAUAAUUCCUGAGGCAGAUGGUGCAGU